CCUUUCCCAUGUCCCCGAGGGAUUUGCCAGUCCCCUCUGCCCGCGCCCCACGCUCGACCUCGAGAACAAGCAAAAAGGUCAAACCCUAGCCGCCAAACCUUCUCGUCCCGAGCCCCGCGCCCCCUUCGCCUCGUCUCCUCCCCGCUCCAUCCUCUCCCAUGCCGCCGCACCCUCUCCUCACACGCCUCAGCGCCCUCCCCUCCUCCCCGUGCCGCCGGCCCCCUUCCUUCUCCCCGCGCUAGAGCAGAGAUGCGCCUCAGUAGGGCAGCAGCAGUAGCGUCUCCAUGGGUGCGGCGGCGUGACGGCUCCCAGGCACGGAUCCCCUCCUCCGCCUCCAUCCUCCACCUCUCCGGUCGCCCAGUUGCAACUUCCGUAGCAGCAGCAGGCGACCUGCAGCAGCUCCUUCCUACCUUCCAUGGACGAGCUCGACGGAGACGCCGUCCAGCCCGACCACGGCCACGACUACCCCACGCACAAGGUCCCGACCACGGCCACGACUACCCCACGCACAAGAGGAAGGUUGAUUCAUUUGUCAAAUUCAUUCCACCGAAGCCAUCUGCUCCCUCCACCAACCCGCCCAGAAAGGUAGUUACAGUGAAUUGAUGUUCGCACUGAGGCCGGAGGCGAGAGGCGAGGGCACGGAGGUCGGUGGCAAGUGCUCAGGAGAGAAGAGGAAGGCGGCAGCGCUGGGCGGUGGCUGCGGUUUACACGAGAGCGAGGUGACCCGCCCAGAAAGCUCUGUUGAUGGAUGAUUUCUGCCAUGUUUAUGGAGGGGGAGGACGCCAACUACUAGGAGAAAGAUCAGUUUAGCAAGUACAUGAUGUAAUUCUCUUAUGAUUAUGGAUUGCUGAGAAGCGCAACCUUUUGAUCUUCGAGAACCGCAAGUUUGCUGACAUUGAAAACACAUUCAUUAUGCAAGACGAAUGGUGAGAAAUGUGUUAUUCCCUAUCCUUCCAUUCUAUUUGCAUAUUCGCGCAGUAUGCUUAGUUUUUUCCCAAGAUGAAUAUUCUACACAUGAGAGCAAUAUACUUGGUAUUAUUGAUGCUCAUAUAAUUCCUGGACCUGGAAUUGUUGAUGGCUUGAGGCUUAAAGUAUGUUAUGUGUUGCAUACCUAAUAAAUAUUAGCAAGCUAAUGUUGCAGCUUGACAGAUGCUGUGAUAACUUCUCCUUUUUCUGUUUUUCAAUAUCCACUUCGAACUGAGCAGCCAUGAUCCGGAUUUCCUCUAUGUAGCUAUGAGAUGCCUGCAGUUUGUUAUUGUGUAUCGUGUACUAAAACAUUGAUUAUUUGACAAUGAACACAUGGAAAUGCCUUAACUAUUCAACUUGCCUAGCUCAGUAUUUUAACCAAUAGAGAAGUUUUUUUUGUUGCUUUCCCUUUUGUUAGAUAUUUUGCUUUUUGUAUGUUGAGGGGAGAUGGAUAUGGCCUCGGGACUAAACGCACAGACCACAUGAAGUGAUCUGAUGGUAGGUAAAGUAUUUUUUAUUGGCAAUGCUAAUGUCUGGACCAGCUCAAUGGUUUUAACUCUAUGAUGUUCAGUUUAGCAUAUCACAUAUACAAAUUCAUAUAUACAAAUUGUGGUAGGCAACUCACUAUUUAGACGACGCGACUAUUCCCUUGAUAAGGAGAGUCCCACCAUACUCAUGUGAGAGUUAGGCGUGGUAGUGGGUAGUGUUUUCUCAUCAUCCAUUAUGUGUUUCUUCUGUCUAGCUCGAAGUUGCUUAGUUAGAUAAUGAUUCGCAAAUUCCAGCAUUGCAUGUUGCCUGACACCUUUGCAUUAGCAUUGAAUUGCAGACUGCAUUUUUGCAGCCCGCGAGGCGUGUAAAUGUUGGACUAUUGUUUCUCCGCUGAUGCACAUGUUUCGCCACACAGACAGUACUCUGUGUGUGUGAUCUCUGGAAUUAGUUUUUAUGUUUCUCUGUGUUUGAGUACUUUUGUAAUCUCCACGGGUGUGUUUCGUAUUUUCUAUGUAUCCUCUGUCAUUCGUUUAAGUGUUUGAUGUUUUCUUUUGUAGUUUUUGAUAUUUAGGUGCAGUCACGUUUCAUUUGUCGCAGACCUGCACCCGUUAGGAAAAUCAUAGUUUCAUUUCGAUCAUGUUUCUUUAAGUUGUUCAGUGUUUGUUCAUUAUGUAGUAGAGCAAGCAGUACAUUUUGUCCAUCAGUUAAGUCACUCAUGUCACAUUCAGUUGAUUGAUUAGGUUUAGUUUUUGUUCCUUUCUCUUUGUUCCUUCAGUUUUUUGUUCCUUUAUUUAGUCAUUGUGCUUGCAUCAUUUGCCAGUAUUUUAGUCCAUCUCAAUAGACCCUAUGAUUCUUGAUAGUUUCUCUCUUUCGUAGAUCAGACUUUUCCACUUUGUUAGUUAGGCUAAUUUAUGAUUUUUUCAGUUUUUAAUCUUUACAUGAUUUAGUUGGACAGUGUGUUUGGUAUUUCAAUAGUUCAGUAGUUUCAUACUUUCAUUUAAUUAAAUAGUCUUGUUUUUAGUCUCAGUACUUCAGGUUUAGUUUCCAAACAAGUACUUUUUGACUCAUGUGGUUUUCGGUCUUUUGACUAUAUGUGGUUCUCAAUCUUUUCAUCUCUCGGUUUACUUGUCAUUCUUAAUUUAUCCGCCUUACUAUUCUCAGUCUUGUCAUUUUUAUAGAGGGUGACAAACUUUUCAUAAUUAUCAGUUGUAAUUUUCUAGUGUCUGCUCUCUCUUUCUUCAAUAUGCACUUCUAUCUUUUUCCUGUUUUCAUUCGUUCUUUCUUUAUCUUCAGUCCCUCAGUCUAUCUUGGAGGUAGGAGAUCGUUGUAUAAGUCUUGUCACUAUUUUCUAUUUUAUCCUAAUUACUUCACCCAUUGUUUGUAUCUCUAUUCCCUGUGAUGCGAGGAGAUUUUUUGGGAGCUGCUUUAUUUAUUCCAUUACUUUUGUUCUCGAUUUUUCUGGAGUCCUUUGCUUCACUCUUUUGCCCCUGAUGGAAACAAGUAUACCUUUUUUCAGUUGCUUCAUUUUUAUGUUGCCUUGUGAUUUUUUCUUUGAGUCUUCUUGAUCAUUCACAUUUGAUGUCUAGAUAAUUAACCUCUACUCCUAUAACCUUUCCAGUCCUUGUUUAGUCAUUAUUUCCCCCUCUUUUUUCUGUAUGUAUAUUCAUAAUGUUCAUGCUUAGCUUCAGAAGUGAAUACUAAGUUCUCCAUUCACUAGAUUUUAUUGUUUCAUGAACAAGGUCUGGUUUUAACCUUAGGUUCAGUUACAUGCAUUCUGUUGCACACACUGUUUUUCGAUCUAUGUCGCUCUAUAGGAUGCAUUUAUUUUCCUCAGUUGUUUUCUUUUUGUUCUUGUGCUGUUUUUCGUAACUGGGACCAUAACACUCACACUUUUUUUGCAUGUAGUCUAUGUUCAUCUAGAAAAACCAAAGGAAGUAGCUUUUCAUUUGGAUAUCCCAAGCAUGGACUGACGAGAUUAUGGUUUGGCAAGCAGAGGUCCACUAGGACUGAGUGACGAACAAGCACAUGAAUGGCUGCAUCUUGUUCAAGCAUGGAUGGAAGAAAUUUCUCCUGAAAACAGGACUUGAGGUUGGUAUGGAUGUACUUACAUUCAAGAUGACCUGUAACAACAUGAAAGUUGGCCUCCAUGACCUCUGAGAGGUUCAUAGGUCCUAAUUGAGGUUGUCUUCCGUUGAUUAUUUUUAUCGCUGCUAUGUUAGCUCUUUUGUGAGGGUCCAAUUUGGUGACCGCCUUAGAAAGAACAAGUUUCAACUAUUGCUAAAGCUAUUAAAUCAAAAGAUUAUUCUUACGUCAGGAGGUUUGCAUCCAAUCUCCUGAAGUUAAUUUGUUAAUAUAUGUGAUCAUGUACCAUGUGGUCCAUAGCAUAUAACACCUUUGUAGUUGACAUAUGUGGCCAAGGAUCUGUACUGAAACAUAUAGAGAAAUCAUCAGAGAUAAUACUAUGAAUGAGAAUGGACUUGGAAAUUGUGAUAAACCUUUCUUUAGGUGCACUUUCAUUCAGAAGGUGAUCCAGGUUUAUUGGAGCAGUACACACUAAGUCGGUAACUGUAAUACAAGGCUUUAUGAAUCUAUCAAUUGAAGUGCAGAUCAACCAAAAUGUCAUAUACAAUGGUUGAAAGCUGAAGACUAAAGACCAUGGAGAAGAUUACACCAUCUUUUAUUCCAAGGAAAGAAACAACAUGGUCACUUGACUUUACAGACAACCUACUACUAUUAACUUCUGUUUAAUUGAUCGACAUCGCAUCUUUGUUAUUAGAUAUAUACUUAGGAACAUGCCUGUGAGUAUAUACUUAGUCUAUGUAUGCGAGACAUUUUUGUUUUGUUUUUCUCCUUAGUUCUAUCCAGAAAUGACUAUUUGUGUCUUUUUAUUUAUUCUGCACGAGCCCUUUUUUUGGAAUUCCUAUGUAUUUCUGACCUAUGUGAAUUUUACUGAUAAUAGAAGAGUUCAAGGGUUACUAACCUUAAAAUUGUCUAUAUAUUAUAAAUGACUAACUGAUAAUAGCAGAGUUCAAGGGUUUGUUAUGUUCUGCAAUUAGCAUUCAUUAGGAAACAAACGGCAACCCUCCAAACUUUUCAGCAACUUAUUCCUAUGUUUGGUGUCCUUUGAUAAUUGAUAGUAUGUUUCUCUUCGGAUAUAUACCUGAGUACUACACUUUUAACUUAUAUGUCCAUGGUCGUGCCUGAAGAUUAUUGUCAUGUUUUUGUGUGUUGUGCUGUCGCCAACUGUUAUCUGAAGCACCCCACUUAAAUGGGUAGGAUUACAGGGAACAUGCCUACUAUGGAUAUGGAGCUCAUUACAUGGCGGAUCAGUGCAAGUUACAUGCUUCAUGGGAAAGAUAGGAAGAAAUUUCUGCUUUGGUGUGAUGGUGGUCUAUGCAAACUGGAGAGGAAUGCGUUGAUUUUUGACAACCAGAUUACGUUGAUUCUGAGGUUAUGAGUUAGCUGAAAGCUAAUGGCUACUGGUUAGGAAUCAUUUAGGUCCUGGCCGUCUUUUGGACCUGCUUUAGUUGUACUCCCUCCGUUUCAAAAUAGAUGACUCAACUUUGUACUAACUUUAGUACAAAAUUAGUACAAAGUUGGGUCAUCUAUUUUGGAACGAAGGGAGUACUUGGCAGUUUCCCUGCGUUUUUCUAGACUACUUGUCGUUGAGUGCUGACCACCCUCUGUUGUUUCUCUGUCAUGCAACUCUCCUACAUGGUUAAAAAACUAAUUUAGACAUUUUGUUUCUUUAACCGUUACUCAUUUCUCUUAUCCUUGUUGUAUCAAAUCAAUUGUGUCAUCAUUGAUGGCCGUUUUUCUUUC